GUCAAGUAAUUUCAAUAGAUCUUGGAAGAACAAUGGAGAGCAAAUGAAUUCGAAGCAUCUGAAGAAAACUGCGUCUGAAGCUGGAGUGCUUCUGAAGUGAUGAGGUCAUCAGAAGCAGAAGCUCAUCAGAAGCAGAUGGUCAUCAGAAGCAAGGUUUUCAUCAUAAGCGAAAUCAUCACCAGAAGCUACAAUUGAUCCGUAAAUUUAAACUGGAGAUUCAAAUUAGCUGUUUAACAUUUCAACCUUGUCUAAGAAGAACGAAGAAUUGAAAGGGAGACAUCAACAGUCAUUUGGAGAAAACUAAGUACUUGUCCUUCGUUAACAGAGUUGACAAAGUACAAGUGUACAACCACUACCUCCACUACUCUGUUUUU
rnacentral:lncRNA from 1 species